UGCAUGCCUGUGACGGUCCAGCCAGCAAUAAGCUCUGGGAAAGAAGUGGUGACAAAAUCAAUUCCCUGUUCCCAGCAGCUCAUAAACAAGGGUGAGGUGGCUGGAGCCAAAUGGGCGAAGAAACAUAUAUGUCAGGAGUGGUUUCCUAGAAAGAUGACAACUGCCACCAUUCACAGGAUCUUCCAAGAUGAGGAGGUCCUCUGGCCCCAAGGCUUGGCACAAAAGAAAUGGGAUGGCCCGUGGCUGGCUGGGCACACACUGUCUUAUGCUCAGCAACUUGUCUGGGAGCUCCGGUGUCCUGAGCCUUCUGUUUGCUCUUAAUCAGGAAGAUGGGCAUCAUUCCAUAGCAGUUUGCAAAUAGGACUCGGAAAGCAUGUUGCGGAACAAACAGAACUAUGCCUGUUUCCCAAAUGAUGAAGCUCCCAGGCUCGGAAGGAAACCCCUUCGGUUGUGUGCGAGGACCUUUUCUGCUCCCUGGGGUCCAAGGAAGUGGAGCUCUGGGCCUCAGGUCACCAUGGCACUGCCGAGACUGGCUCUUCACUCGUCUUGGUCCCUGGGGGGCAGCGGCGCUAUCGAGUCCUGGUGCAGCCCCCGGGUCUUCAUGCCCUGUCCCUGCGGGCAGUCGUGGCCAGCCCACCCCGACGCGACUCUUCCCCCUUUGCCGAGACCACCACUGGCACAGUCGACUCCCCUCUUCAACUCAAGCCGCCACUCUCAUCCCCCCUUCCCUCUGGAACCAACAGAUGGCUCCCUCUCCCCCGCCUCAGGGGCCUAAAACAUAACAGCUCUUUACUUGCGGAGUUGGGGUGGGUAGGUGAGAGAGUGCACCCUUUCAGAAACCCCAAAAUUACCUCUGCUUCCCAGAAUGGGAAGCGGGGAAGGGGAAAGAAGAAACUCUAUUCUUCCUUUGGGCAUUCAGAGCAAAAGCAUUAGCGAAUGCCACUUCUACGCCACACCCACACGGCUGAAACCAAACCAAACCCCAAAGACCAAUUUUUUGGUUUUACUAAAUUGCUCACCUUGUUACAUUAGCCUCAUUUCACAGACAAAGAAACCAAGGCUUAGAGGGUUUAGUUACUUCAACUGCCACUUGGCCUUGGGUCAGAGUUUGCAGAGAUACCUGCCUCACCAUUUGCAUACUCGGUGGGACCAGUGUCAGGUGGUGGGCACUGCCCCAAACUGUGUCCGCUGGGCUCUAAGCAGUUACUCACCUGCUGGGACACACCCUCCAUUACAACUUUAGCCACAGCCAGCAAACGGGUAGGACUUGACCAAGAGACAAUUACAUUCCAGCCACUGAAGGCAGAACUAGCUAAGCCUCCUUCAGAAAUGCAUCACCAUGGCUUAGGACUCUACAGCUUAGGUGUGCUUGAUUUUGAUCACCUCUCCUGGACCAGACACCCUGCUCACAGUUUUACGUAUAUUAUCAUAUCAUCCCCACAAGAAUCCUACUAUUAUCUUUGCUCUCCAGGUAAGGAAAAGGUUGCUAAGAGCGCUGAGUAACUUUCCCAAGUCCUGUAAUAAUCAGGUUGGCUAAGUGGGAUAUGAGCCUGAAUCUCCUAAUUUUAAUCCCCUGUUUUUCCCAUAAUGUAUCAGUGAAGAUAACUGGGAAAUUUCAUUUUUCAGAGAAAUAAAAGCAAGAGAGGGGAAUGCCAAUGUUCACUCCUUCCAUUUGUGGUGACACACGGGUAGACAGUGGACCACAGGGAAAGCAAUCAGACAUUUCAGUCUCAGGAACUCAGUGAUGGGAGAGCAGCCACUACAGUGGUUAUUCCACAAAGGACCACCAGGUAGCACCAUUGCACAACAGCUGCAUACCCAACAGCUCAACUCAGACCAGAAUGGGAGGAUGCAGCCUGGAGGAGUGGCCUGCUUUUCAUUAAGUCACUCGAAUGACCUGACAAGGGACUUUGGAGACAAGAUACACAGAGGGGAGACCCUAUGAAGACAUAGGGAGAAGACAGCCAUCUGCAAGCCAAGGAGAGAGGCCUCGGGAGAAACCAACCCUGCUGACACCUUGAUCUUGGACUUCUAUCCUCCAGAACGUUAUUGAAGGCCUGGCAGAGACCUCACCUGCCCCUGACGUGGCUGUGUCUGCCCUGACCGCUGGGGCUGGAAGGCUCUCUCUCAUCCCACAGGCCCCUGCUCCUCUCCCUGGCCACAGCUGGAUGGACCAGGGGACCCUUCAUGGGCCUCUGGGGCCUGGCAUAGAAACACGUGCCCGCCGGAGAGUGUGGGAUGGAGAAGUGAAGCUGAGCCAUUAGGUGACCGUGACUGAUGCCUGGACAGAGGACCACGUGGAGCCCGGAGCCACUUGUCAGUCAACAUUGGGAGAUGGGGGUACAGAGGCUGUGGGUAAACUGAGAGAGGUGGUGAGCAGAGGCAGGUGAGUGAGGAGGAUGGAUGGGGUGGGGGGCAGAGAGAGACCUGAUUCUUGUCCUCAUUUGUGAAACCCCCAAGGAGGCCUUGCAGCAAACCUUCCCUUUACUGGAGCCCACUUGCUGGGGCCUCUGUUCCUGCCAACGGAAGAGCUGGUUCACAUCUCCUGGACUGGACCUUGAGCGCCUCGAGGGCAGAUGCUGUGUCUCAUUCAGCUUUUAUUCCCCGCAGCACAUACCACGGGAGCAAGGCAGGGAGCGUGCAUAUGGGAACCGGCGCUACCUGUCUGCCUCGAAAACACGGUGUGUUUGAGCUUUAAUGCUGAGUGUGUGCAACCCAAGCCUGGGUAAGGAAUUAUUCAAAACCCAUGGGCACUUCACACCCACCAGGAGGGCCAUAAUCAAAAAGACGACAGUACCAAGUGUUGGUAAGGAUGUGGAGAGAUCAGAACCCUCAUACGCUGCUCCCAGGAAUGUAAAAUGGUGCACCAGCUGUGGGAAACAGUCUGGCAGUUACUCAAAAUGUUAAACAUAGAGUCAUCGUAUGACCCAGCAGUUGUACUCAAGAAAAAUGAAAACAUCCAUCCACCCAAAAACUUGUACAUGGAUAUGCAUAGCACCAUUAUUUAUAAUGGCCCCAAAUUAGAAACAACCCAAAUGUCCAUCAGCUGAUGAAUGAAUAAACAAAAUGUGGUCUGUCCAUACAAUGCUUCUUAUUUCAGAAUAAAAAGGGAUGAAGUACCGAUACAUACUACAACAUGGAUGGACCUUGAAAACACUGAGCUAAGUGAAUAUGCCAGUCGCAGAAGACCACACUUGAUUCCAUUUAUAUGAAAUGUCUAGAAUAGGAAAAUCCAUAGAGAUAGAAAGUAGAUUAGUGGUUGCCAGGACCUGGG